UACAGAGGGUGCUAGCGUUGUUCGGAAUCAUUGGGCGUAAAGGGUGUGUAGGUGGCGCCGUAAGUCGGGUGUGAAAUUUCGGAGCUUAACUCCGAAACUGCAUUCGAUACUGCGGUGCUUGAGGACUGGAGAGGAGACUGGAAUUCAUGGUGUAGCAGUGAAAUGCGUAGAGAUCAUGAGGAAGACCAGUGGCGAAGGCGGGUCUCUGGACAGUUCCUGACACUGAGACACGAAGGCCAGGGGAGCAAACGGG
rnacentral:rRNA from 1 species